AUGGAAAAGAUCGAGCACAAGUUUGUGGAAGUAGGAGGACUAAAGCUUCAUGUAGCUGAAAUUGGACGUGGUCCAAAGGUGGUGGUUUUCCUGCAUGGAUUUCCUGAAAUAUGGUACUCGUGGAGGCACCAAAUGAUUGCUGUGGCCAACAAUGGCUACCGGGCGAUUGCCUUUGAUUGCAGGGGAUAUGGACUUUCUGAGCUGCCAGCUGAGCCCGAAAAGGCAACUUUCAAGGACCUUGUUGACGAGGUUGUUGGAGUUCUGGAUGCUUUGGCCAUCGACAAGGCUUUCCUUGUUGGGAAGGAUUUUGGAUCUAUAACUGAAUACCUGGUAGCUGCUGCUUAUCCCGAACGAAUAGGUGGUCUCAUAUCACUAGGUAUCCCUUUCAUGCUGCCAGAUCCUUCUGCUGUCCAAAAUCAUCUUCUUCCUGAAGGAUUCUACAUAUCAAGGUGGCAGGAGCCAGGGAGAGCAGAAGCAGAUUUUGGCCGCUUUGAUGUCAAGUCGGUGGUAAGGAACAUCUACAUUCUCUUCUCCAGAAGUGAGGUCCCAAUAGCUGCUAAGGAUCAAGAAAUCAUGGAUUUGUUUGAUCCAGCUAUUCCUCUACCGCCAGGGCUGUCGGAGGAAGAUCUUUAGGUCUAUGCAUCUCUGUAUGAGACGUCUGGAUUCGGUUUUGCUCUGAGAGUACCAUACAGGAGUUUAACAGUGGAUUGUGGUUAUACGAUCCAAAAGUCUCAGCUCCAACACUGCUAAUCCAGGGUGAGAAAGACUACCUCUUGAACUUUCCGGGGACUGAAGACUACAUUCGAUCUGGGGCAAUGAAGCACAUUGUGCCUGACUUGGACAUCACCUUCAUUGCAGAAGGGGGUCACUUUGUGCAAGAAGUACUUCCUGAGAAAAUUAAUGAGCUAAUCCUCACUUUCCUCGCCAAACAUGGCAUCUGA